rnacentral:lncRNA from 12 species
CAUUUGUAUUUACCUUUGAAAAAAGAAGAGGAGACCUGAAGGGAACGGGAUGACGAACUUUUAGUUAAUUUGAUUUUCAUUCCAAGACUGCAUUCUUCUGACUGAAAAGAUAUACUGAGAAACACCUGGAAAACAAGAUAUUUUGCACAAAUUUCUCAACAAGAAAUUUUCAGGACAAUAAGAUAUCUAUAAAUAAAGAGGUAAAAGAGUAUACAUAAAUUAAUGUUUAAAUUUUGUCUUA